AUGGAGAGUUUGAUUCUGGCUCAGAACGAACGCUGGCGGCGUGGAUAAGACAUGCAAGUCGAACGAGAGAAUUGCUAGCUUGCUAAUAAUUCUCUAGUGGCGCACGGGUGAGUAACACGUGAGUAACCUGCCCCCGAGAGCGGGAUAGCCCUGGGAAACUGGGAUUAAUACCGCAUAGUAUCGAAAGAUUAAAGCAGCAAUGCGCUUGGGGAUGGGCUCGCGGCCUAUUAGUUAGUUGGUGAGGUAACGGCUCACCAAGGCGAUGACGGGUAGCCGGUCUGAGAGGAUGUCCGGCCACACUGGAACUGAGACACGGUCCAGACACCUACGGGUGGCAGCAGUCGAGAAUCAUUCACAAUGGGGGAAACCCUGAUGGUGUGACGCCGCGUGGGGGAAUGAAGGUCUUCGGAUUGUAAACCCCUGUCAUGUGGGAGCAAAUUAAAAAGAUAGUACCACAAGAGGAAGAGACGGCUAACUCUGUGCCAGCAGCCGCGGUAAUACAGAGGUCUCAAGCGUUGUUCGGAAUCACUGGGCGUAAAGCGUGCGUAGGCUGUUUCGUAAGUCGUGUGUGAAAGGCGCGGGCUCAACCCGCGGACGGCACAUGAUACUGCGAGACUAGAGUAAUGGAGGGGGAACCGGAAUUCUCGGUGUAGCAGUGAAAUGCGUAGAUAUCGAGAGGAACACUCGUGGCGAAGGCGGGUUCCUGGACAUUAACUGACGCUGAGGCACGAAGGCCAGGGGAGCGAAAGGGAUUAGAUACCCCUGUAGUCCUGGCAGUAAACGGUGCACGCUUGGUGUGCGGGGAAUCGACCCCCUGCGUGCCGGAGCUAACGCGUUAAGCGUGCCGCCUGGGGAGUACGGUCGCAAGAUUAAAACUCAAAGAAAUUGACGGGGACCCGCACAAGCGGUGGAGUAUGUGGCUUAAUUCGAUGCAACGCGAAGAACCUUACCUGGGCUUGACAUGUAAUGAACAACAUGUGAAAGCAUGCGACUCUUCGGAGGCGUUACACAGGUGCUGCAUGGCCGUCGUCAGCUCGUGUCGUGAGAUGUUUGGUUAAGUCCAGCAACGAGCGCAACCCCUGUUGCCAGUUACCAGCACGUGAAGGUGGGGACUCUGGCGAGACUGCCCAGAUCAACUGGGAGGAAGGUGGGGACGACGUCAGGUCAGUAUGGCCCUUAUGCCCAGGGCUGCACACGUACUACAAUGCCCAGUACAGAGGGGGCCGAAGCCGCGAGGCGGAGGAAAUCCUGAAAACUGGGCCCAGUUCGGACUGUAGGCUGCAACCCGCCUACACGAAGCCGGAAUCGCUAGUAAUGGCGCAUCAGCUACGGCGCCGUGAAUACGUUCCCGGGUCUUGUACACACCGCCCGUCACAUCAUGGAAGCCGGUCGCACCCGAAGUAUCUGAAGCCAACCGCAAGGAGGCAGGGUCCUAAGGUGAGACUGGUAACUGGGAUGAAGUCGUAACAAGGUAGCCGUAGGGGAACCUGCGGCUGGAUCACCUCCUUUCUAUGGA
rnacentral:rRNA from 2 species